rnacentral:rRNA from 1 species
AGCUGGUUACUCAAGAAAAGGAUUUAAGUCCAGCCUAAAGUCUUCUCAGUUUUUCAAAAACAUAACUCUGACUUUAGAGUAAUUCAAAUAAGGUACAGCCUGUUUGAAAAAGGAUACAACCUAAACUAACGGGUAAUAAUUUGACUUCAUAACUAAGUGGGCCUAAGAGCAGCCACCUUUAAAAUAGCGUCAAAGCUUUAUUAUUAUACCUCCCCAAUACUUUAAAAAUUUCACAACCCUUUAAUUCUAUUGAGUAAUUCUAUAACAUUAUAGAAAGUAUGAUGUUAAAACUAGUAACAAGAAGAAGACCUUCUCUUUAAUGCAAGUGUAAAUCAGAAAGGACCCCCCACUGAUAAUUAGCCCCCAUGAAAUUACAUUAACAACCUCGCAAGAAAAACCUAAUGAACUCUGAGUUAAUCUAACACAAGAGCAUUUCAAGAAAGAUUUAAAGAAAAAGAAGGAACUCGGCAAACAUUAACCUCGCCUGUUUACCAAAAACAUCGCCUCUUGAAUCCCUAUAAGAGGUCCAGCCUGCCCAGUGACUUUGUUCAACGGCCGCGGUAUCCUAACCGUGCGAAGGUAGCGUAAUCACUUGUCUUUUAAAUGAGGACUUGUAUGAAUGGCAUCACGAGGGUUAUACUGUCUCCUUUCUCUAAUCAGUGAAACUAAUCUUCCCGUGAAGAAGCGGGAAUAAAUAUAUAAGACGAGAAGACCCUAUGGAGCUUUAAACUCAAUAACAAAUACUAACCUUACUUUAACUUCCAGAACAUUAACACUAAUCUUAGUACUAUGAUUAUUAGUUUUAGGUUGGGGUGACCGCGGAGUAAAAAUUAACCUCCACAUUGAACAGGACCUUUCCUUGAGCUAUGAGCUACAACUCUAAACACCAACAAAUUGACAUUAAUUGACCCAAUAUUUUGAUCAACGAACCAAGUUACCCUAGGGAUAACAGCGCAAUCCACUUCAAGAGCUCCUAUCGACAAGUGGGUUUACGACCUCGAUGUUGGAUCAGGGUAUCCCAGUGGUGCAGCCGCUACUAAAGGUUCGUUUGUUCAACGAUUAAAACCCUACGUGAUCUGAGUUCAGACCGGAGUAAUCCAGGUCAGUUUCUAUCUAUAAAAGAGUUUUUUCUAGUACGAAAGGACCGAAAAAACAUGGCCCAUACUUAAUGCAAGCCAUAAUUAUUAACUUAUGACCAAAUCUUAAUAAGUACCCAAUCC